GGUUUUGUUUCCAUGUAGCAUCUACAAAUUACACUUUGUCAGCAUGACCAGGAUAUUAAUCUGAAACAUAAGAUUCCUGUAGCUCCUCUGCUUGUAUGGACAUCUGGAAUCCGGAUGGCUUUCGGCACUCCAGUGGGACAGACAGGUACGCUGAUAACUUAUCUCAUAACUUCUAGUCUUUACAGAUUUUUUGCUGCCAGGGA
rnacentral:lncRNA from 1 species